UACGGAGGGUGCAAGCGUUAUCCGGAAUCACUGGGCGUAAAGGGCGCGUAGGCGGCCUGUUAAGUCCGAUGUUAAAGACUGGGGCUCAACCCCAGCAUUGCGUUGGGAUACUGGCAGGCUUGACGGUUGGGAGAGGCGAGUGGAAUUACCAGUGUAGCGGUGAAAUGCGUAGAUAAUGGUAGGAACACCCAUUGCGAAGGCAGCUCGCUGGACAACACGUGACGCUGAGGCGCGAAAGUGUGGGGAGCAAACCGGAUUAGAUACCCG
rnacentral:rRNA from 1 species